GUGGGGAAUUUUGGACAAUGGGCGAAAGCCUGAUCCAGCCAUGCCGCGUGUGUGAAGAAGGUCUUCGGAUUGUAAAGCACUUUAAGUUGGGAGGAAGGGCAUUAACCUAAUACGUUAGUGUUUUGACGUUACCGACAGAAUAAGCACCGGCUAACUUCGUGCCAGCAGCCGCGGUAAUACGAAGGGUGCAAGCGUUAAUCGGAAUUACUGGGCGUAAAGCGCGCGUAGGUGGUUCGUUAAGUUGGAUGUGAAAGCCCCGGGCUCAACCUGGGAACUGCAUCCAAAACUGGCGAGCUAGAGUACGGUAGAGGGUGGUGGAAUUUCCUGUGUAGCGGUGAAAUGCGUAGAUAUAGGAAGGAACACCAGUGGCGAAGGCGACCACCUGGACUGAUACUGACACUGAGGUGCGAAAGCGUGGGGAGCAAACAGGAUUAGAUACCCGUGUAGUCC
rnacentral:rRNA from 1 species